CCUACGGGUGGCAGCAGUGGGGAAUAUUGCACAAUGGGGGGAACCCUGAUGCAGCGACGCCGCGUGAGUGAAGAAGUAUUUCGGUAUGUAAAGCUCUAUCAGCAGGGAAGAAAAUGACGGUACCUGACUAAGAAGCCCCGGCUAACUACGUGCCAGCAGCCGGGGGAAUACGUAGGGGGCAAGCGUUAUCCGGAUUUACUGGGUGUAAAGGGAGCGCAGACGGCUGUGAAAGUCUGGAGGGAAAGGCGGGGGCCCAAACCCCGGACUGCUCUGGAAACUGUAGACCUGGAGUGCAGGAGAGGUAUGCGGAAUGCGUGGUGUAGCGGUGAAAUGCAUAGAUAUUACGAGGAACUCCGGUGGCGAAGGCAGCUUACUGGACUGCAACUGACAUUGAGGCUCGAAAGUGUGGGGAUCAAACAGGAUUAGAUACCCUUGUAGUC
rnacentral:rRNA from 1 species